rnacentral:rRNA from 1 species
AAAGGAGACUUCGGUCUCUGAGUACAGUGGCGCACGGGUGCGUAACACGUAAGUAAUCUACCCCGAACUCUGGGAUAACCCUCCGAAAGGAGGGCUAAUACUGGAUAGGGUCCCCGAGGUGUAGGCUGCGGGGGGAAAACGGGCCUCUGUUUCAUGCUCGUGGUUGGGGAUGAGCUUGCGGCCCAUUAGCUUGUUGGCAGGGUAACGGCCUACCAAGGCUACGAUGGGUAGCUGGUCUGAGAGGAUGAUCAGCCACACUGGCACUGAGACACGGGCCAGACUCCUACGGGAGGCAGCAGUGGGGAAUUUUGCGCAAUGGGCGAAAGCCUGACGCAGUAACGCCGCGUGGAGGAUGAAGGCCUUCGGG